AGCGAACGCUGGCGGCAGGCUUAACACAUGCAAGUCGAGCGGGCAUAGCAAUAUGUCAGCGGCAGACGGGUGAGUAACGCGUGGGAACGUACCUUUUGGUUCGGAACAACACAGGGAAACUUGUGCUAAUACCGGAUAAGCCCUUACGGGGAAAGAUUUAUCGCCGAGAGAUCGGCCCGCGUCUGAUUAGCUAGUUGGUGAGGUAAUGGCUCACCAAGGCGACGAUCAGUAGCUGGUCUGAGAGGAUGAUCAGCCACAUUGGGACUGAGACACGGCCCAAACUCCUACGGGAGGCGGCAGUGGGGAAUAUUGGACAAUGGGCGCAAGCCUGAUCCAGCCAUGCCGCGUGAGUGAUGAAGGCCCUAGGGUUGUAAAGCUCUUUUGUGCGGGAAGAUAAUGACGGUACCGCAAGAAUAAGCCCCGGCUAACUUCGUG
rnacentral:rRNA from 1 species